rnacentral:rRNA from 1 species
UACGUAGGGGGCAAGCGUUGUCCGGAUUUAUUGGGCGUAAAGAGCGUGUAGGCGGCCAGAUAGGUCAGCUGUGAAAACUCGAGGCUCAACCUCGAGACGUCGGUUGAAACCAUCUGGCUAGAGUCCGGAAGAGGAGAGUGGAAUUCCCGGUGUAGCGGUGAAAUGCGCAGAUAUCGGGAAGAACACCCGUGGCGAAGGCGGGUCUCUGGGCAGUAACUGACGCUGAGGAGCGAAAGCGUGGGGAGCGAACAGG